CUUAAAUUUCACAAACGAUUUAAAUUUUUUUUAAUUCUUUAAUAUACAAAAACAAUACAAUGUGUGUACUUUCACAUCUACUUAGAUUUAGUUGGAGUCACAAUAACAAUUUAUAUUAGCAUAUAACAUUUGAGUAGCUUGCUAUCCAUUAAGUAAAAAUAUUUACAUUGAAGUAUUUACAAGAAUAAUACAUAUAAAUCAGUGUUAAAAAUCUAUUUAUACGCAUACACAUGCCUGUAAAAGUAUCAGUUAUUUUCACUAAAUACUGUAUUAUUUGCACAUAAUUAUAUUUAUUAUUGUACAGUCAAGUCGAAGGGUCUCCAUGUAAAGGAUAAUAUAUAAGAUAAUUCUAUAAAGAGAAGGUUGGAAAUAGUUUGGCCAAUUAGCAGUCUAACAAUUAAAGUUCACAAGUAACUUAAAAUGUGCCUACAUUAAUUAUAAGGACAAUAUUUGAAUGCUUAGCCAAAAAAAAAAUAUAUAUAUAUAUAUAUAAACAAACAAACAAAAAAAAAACUAUUGUACCUUGCACUCAGGCUUCAAAGUUGUAUGACUGGGUGCAUCACCAGAGCUCCAGUAUCCAGGCAAUUGAAAUAGUUGGCUGCACUCACGGAUUUUCUUAAAACUUAACUUUUAUUGAAAUGUUUAAGAGAAGAUCAAUGUUUCAGAAUCCUGAUGAAAGUCUACAAGGGGGACUGAAACGUUGAUCUUCUCUUAAACAUUUCAAUAAAAGUUAAGUUUUAAGAAAAUCCGUGAGUGCAGCCAACUAUUUCAAUUG